rnacentral:lncRNA from 1 species
CCAACCUUUCAAGAAGGUUGCAGGUCUACCCUCAACCUUUAAAAGUGAAAUCAAACAUCCCAAACAUUUGUCCUCUUCUUUAAAUAAUUAAAAAUAAUUCAGAAAAAAAAAAAUUAACUAAAAAAUUAUAAGACUUUGAAGUGUCAUCUUCCCUGAUCACCCCACAUAUCCUCCCACCCUAAUCCAAAUCUAUGCCACCACGUUUCUUCUGCCACCAUCCCCACUUCACCCAACCCCAACCCACCAAUAUUUUUCAUCUUCCUGACUUCCCGUCAUACAUAUAUGGCAGCCAUCAAUUCACCGCCCUCAGUUUCACCAAUAAUCCCGACUAAAAUUUCACAAAAUAUCCCCAAACCCAUCUAUUCAAUUUCACUUCAAAAUCAUCUAACUCUUGUCCUCAUUUUCACUUUUCACCAUCAUUGAAGUGAAAGGACCGCUCACGGUUCCUUCUUCAAAUCCUGCAACAAUAUUCGUAUAUCUCAAGUGCCCAAGAAUUUGUUUGAUGUGGAAAUUUUAUUGCAUUCUUAGCUCACAACAUUUUGUAGUGUAAAGAAAUUUUUUGCUCAAGCAGAAUGUAAUGUUUUUAACUGAUAAAUGCUUAAAGGUGCAAAAUUUGAAGCAAAAAGUACCACAAUCCAUCGUUUUUCACUUCUUUUAUAGUUUUGCUUCAAUUUUUAGGCCAAUUCUCUAAAACCUAGAACCUAUUGUUCUGCUUCAAAGUCUUCAUUACAUUUUUCCCAGCAUCCACAAAAUUCUUGGUGGGUGAUAUUUUUAACACUAAAGAGAAGCUUGAGUCACAGGUCUAUAAGUUUUUGGAAGGUGCUAUUUUCCUUUCGAUUGUACUAUAUGUAUAUAAUAGGCUUACAUAAUGGUUUGCAUACACAUGAUACGGUGAAAUAUGAUUGAAUCAAAACUUCUUCAACCAAAUAAAAAAAAUAUUUCCCAUUUUCUUUUUGACAUUUCAUCUGUACGUAAACCAUUAUACAACUGCUCAUGUACUAGUAGCAUUAUUCUUUUCCUUUUGUAUACCUUCUUGCCAAUUCCACCCAUUUGUUACACUCUAAUUUUCAUAGUGAAAAAAUAGGUUUUUGGGUUAGAAAAAUUUGGAAUUUGAGUUGAUGAAAUUCAUGAAAAGAUAAUAAUGGCCAGUGGUGGUGUUGGACGGAGGUGAUGGCUGGUGGGGAUAAAGUGAAGUGAAGAAGAUAAACGAUUUGGGAUUGAAUCUUUUUGUUAUUUAUUGUUUUUCUUUUGUUAGUUUCCUUUUUAAUUACUUAAAGAGAAGGGAAAAUAUGUCCUCUCACUCGACUUUAAUGUACAAAUUGGACGGAUUCUGUGAACAGGGACGAACCGUGCCUAUUUCGUGGGGAUGUCUGGUACCAUUUUUAAAGGUUGGGGUAGAUCUGCAACAUUUUUGAAAGGUUGGGGGACCAAAUACAUAUUUCUACCAAAAAGAAUUGAAUAUCAAACUAUGAUUCACAAAAGUUUCCACCAACUUGACAAGAACAGGAAAAAUACUCAAA